rnacentral:rRNA from 1 species
GAUGAACGCUGGCGGCGUGCCUAAUACAUGCAAGUCGAGCGAACAGAUGAGGAGCUUGCUCCUCUGACGUUAGCGGCGGACGGGUGAGUAACACGUGGAUAACCUACCUAUAAGACUGGGAUAACUUCGGGAAACCGGAGCUAAUACCGGAUAAUAUAUUGAACCGCAUGGUUCAAUAGUGAAAGACGGUUUUGCUGUCACUUUUAGAUGGAUCCGCGCCGCAUUAGCUAGUUGGUAAGGUAACGGCUUACCAAGGCGACGAUGCGUAGCCGACCUGAGAGGCUGAUCGGCCACACUGGAACUGAGACACGGUCCAGACUCCUACGGGAGGCAGCAGUAGGGAAUCUUCCGCAAUGGGCGAAAGCCUGACGGAGCAACGCCGCGUGAGUGAUGAAGGUCUUCGGAUCGUAAAACUCUGUUAUUAGGGAAGAACAAAUGUGUAAGUAACUAUGCACGUCUUGACGGUACCUAAUCAGAAAGCCACGGCUAACUACGUG